rnacentral:sRNA from 2 species
UAUCUCUCCGUACGGGGAAGGAUGAGAAGCUUCGACCAAGGUUCGAUUCGAGCGAAAGCGAGAAAGCGUUGCCGCAGGCAACGACCCGAAGGGCGAAGCGCGCAGCGCUGAGUAAUCCUUCCCCUACCACCA